rnacentral:rRNA from 1 species
AUGAGGCCUUUUGGCGAAGCCAAGUCAAUUUCGGGCCACCAAACCCUGCAACUGAGGAAAAGGCCCUAUGGAGUAAAGGGAAGCGUGUACGUUGUCACACUCCCCGCCCUCCAAAGGUGCCUAGAGGACGGGCCAGACGCAACAGAGCGACGCCCCAGGAGCGGAUUCCCCACGAGAAGGGUGACAGGAGACGGCCAUCUUGAGGCACAUCACGACCUACAGGCAACACCGGCGGGACUCAGGAAGGUAACCCGAUUGGGAGUCAGAGGAUCCAUAGUACCCGCAGCCUCCCGGCAUCAUACUCAUCAUUUUCUAAAGAAAGGGUAA